GAAGGAGUGCCAUGAUAACCUGGGUUCCGGAGGUCAUGCAGGGAGAAGGCGCACCACCGAGAAGGUUUUGGCAACGUACCACUGGUCCACUAUGCGGGAGGACGUGAAGAAAUGGAUACAUUCUAACAGCGACUGAUCUGUUCACGAAGUGGGUGGUAGCAAAAACGCUCUACCACAAAACAGCUGUUGAGGUCUCAAAAAAGAUUGUAAAUAUUCUUCUCGAUUUCGGUCUUGUCGAGAAGAUCAUUACCGACCAAGGACGGGAAUUUGUCAAUGAGGUCAACCGUGGUGUUUUUGAUGCACUGGGUGUAAAACACUGCAUCACUUCAGCGUACCAUCCCCAGUGCAAUGGCCAAGAUGAGCGUACAAACCAAAACAUAAAAAAAGCACUUGCAAAGUACUGUGGAGAGGACCAGAAUGACUGGGAUUUACAUCUGAGGGGCAUUGUGGCGAGCAUUAACACCUCAAAGCAGAGGUCAACCAAGUGCACGCCCUAUUUUGCCCAGUUUGGGAGGCACCCUCGCGUCCCGGGUGUUAUAAAUGCUACAGUCAAUGACAGGGAUGAUACCUCUGUUUUGGUGCCUGCUGAUG